UGAAAAUUAGCCAGAGCCUCGCACCCGAAUCCUCGUGCCCAUGAUGCCGCACGAGUCGCGUACCUGCUCCCUCCCUCAAUCCCAAGCUCCGCCGCCGCACCCCAAUUCUCGAUCUGAAUCUUCAUCUCACGCCGACGCGAUGUCUCCCGAUGAUCACCAGAUUUUGUUUCGCAGCUAGGUUUCCCCCUCCCGGCGUGCUCCCGCAUGUUGUCCCUCGCCGCCCAACCCGCCCUCACGCACCACCUCCAUUGGAUCCGUCGCCUUGCUGCUGCGGGCGUGGAUCAAGAGCAAGGAAGCCGGGAGGGAGCGAUGGCCACUGGCCGCCUCACAUCGAGGUUGAAGGCCAUGACCGCUUUGUCACUGUCGUCAUGCGCUCCGCGCUGGGAGUCGCCGCCUCUUUGGCCGAUGUGACGCCAGGGUCGACUCGGGCUGGAGCUUCCUGUGCGGCGAGAAGCCAUAUGUCUAAUGCCCUGAUCUCGCGCCGGAGCGUGCGCAAUCGUCCUCGCGCGUGGAGGCGCAGAUGCGGCCGUCGCCUCCAGGUUGUUGGUAUGGAUUUUCGAUCCAUUAAUUGUGGAUGUCAACGCCAUCUCCAUGUUCUUCUUUCUUUCUAUGUUCGCCCUUUUCUAUUCUGAUUUUUAUAUCUUGCCAACUUGAUUACUUGAUCGAAAACUUAUUACCAAUUUCAAGUUCCUACCUGGGAGUAUUAUCAGUCUGUUGUAUUCGGCAAGGUAGCCUUUGUGGUCACAUACCGAUUCUGGCAUGAGAGUGAUGGUGUCGUUCAUGCCCGAGUAUGCUGGUGUCUCUCGGCAUCCUGGAGUCCGGCACCGCCCUUUCCAGCUUGGUCACCGUUGGCAUGCAUGACGCGCUCCUCGCUUAUGGUGUGCAUGUUCAUGGACAUUUGGAUGUACAGGGUGGGCUAUGAUCAUCGCACCGACGCAAUCGCUGGAGUCCACCAUAACCACACUGCAUGCAUGCCAAUGGCGUCGGAGCAGGCUCCAUCAGCUUUGACUGUAGCGGUCGGUCUAGAUGGUCUCAGGGAGCAUCACCGGCUGGGCCAACAUCCUCUAUCGGUCCCGACAUGUGUCACACUAGGGCUAGCACAACAAUGGUUGGUACUCGCCCCUUUGUGUCUGGAGGAUCCCAAAAUACCUCUGGAUAUUGUGCUUUUGUAGAGAAGCCACGAUAAUGCCAAUCUCGGCGUUGGGAUCCAGAAAUAUCUUUGAAUGUAUGGGAUUUGCAAAAGGCCACGACCACAAUAGUGCAAGGAUCUGCUGAAGCAGUGGUUGUAAAGGCUCCGCGUGAGUGAUUCCGUGCAAGGGGAAUGAGAGUUCUAGAAAGAGGUGGAAGAUAAUCUGUUCAAUCUUUUCAAAGGUACAUUGGUGAAAUGCAGCAACCAGAUAAACGAAAUGCAUUACUCCAUCACCACACUGAUGCUCCAUCUCCCUCUGAUGGCAAGUGCGACCCUGAUGAAGCUGCUCCCCUACAUCAAGGACUACCCCAACAGUGCGGCCUUGAUGGCACAACUCCCAUACACCAAGGACUAGCCCCAUGGUGCGGCCACGACAUCACUGCUCCCCUACACUGCCGACUACAACCUGAGAUCUUAGAACAGGUUUGCAGGUUCAUUGGAACAAAUGUUCAAAAGGAAGAUGCACAGUAAGAAUUACAGUAAGAAGUUCAACUACGAGCCCAGACAUGAGGUAUUUUAACCGCCAACAGAGGGUGUGUUGCGCUAAAAAAUAGUAAUCUUCGCUCCAAAUUCUUAGGUCACUGGCCCAGAUGAAGUAUGCGUUAUGUACAGUCCUCCAGAAUUCAGAAAUUGAUCUAUAAUUCUGUGAAGAGAAGGUUUUCAAACCCAAAGGAGCAUUGGCAACCUUAGGGACUUGGGCGCCAGCGUGUAGUCCCUGCAGAAGUUCCUCACCCGGAAGGUGGUCUUCUCCAAGGCCUCCUUAGCCUUUGAACAAGACCGCUCCAUCAAGGUUGAAACCAAGAGGGCAUUGUAAACUUUGAUGACACUUUGUGGGAAACCAAUUACUUCAUGGCCAGAGGUGAUUUUGGAAUGGAGAUUUCAGUUGAGAAGAUAUCCCUUGCACAGAAAAUGAUGAUCUACAAGUGCAACCUUGCUGGUGAGCCUGUUGUCACAGCGAUUGUAGGCACCAUCCAUUCCAAUUGUCCAUUGGUUUAACUGCAGUUUUUUAUGUACAACUUAUACGCCGGACAGAUUUUUUUUACUUGCCCUGAUGAAGCUGUAGACUAUACACAUAAGUUGCUGAUUUUGCAUGCUAUACUUGUGUAAAUGUUGUUCCACCUUCCCACUUUGUAAUUUCAUGGCCAUUUCAGAUGAUCUAGACAUUUAAUGUAUGGAAUUUACAUUGGCACUAAAUAAGGAAUAUUGAAAGAUAGUAUGCCACAAUA